rnacentral:lncRNA from 1 species
GUAGAGUUGACUCGAUUUGGGUCGAGCUGGCUUGGGACCCUAAGAGAGCCGGCUCGGAUGUAGAACAGGCUAGCACGCGGGUGGCAUGGCCAUCCAGCCGACUCGAGGUCUGAUCGAGCCUGCUUGAGUUGCAAGCAGAACUGUGUGAAUUCUGUUUCGAGUUAGGAUUGGAUUUGAUCCUAGGGGUUUUGAGGCCUUAUUUGGGAGGUCUUAAAGAGGCUAACUCAAGAGUUUGGACUGGGAUUAAGUCUACAAGGUGAGAGCAUGUGAGAUAUGGAUGAGAUAUGAUU